rnacentral:tmRNA from 1 species
UUUUUGCCCGGCAUGGUUCCACCGUUAUCGGACCACAAGCACAGUUGCCAAUGACAACUAUGCUCCGGUUGCCGUCGCUGCGUAAUGCAGCGUAAGCUUCCGAAAUCAAGCCCUUCCGCUUAGCCGCGUAAGGCGGGGUCUGGAGGCACCCGGCAACAGAAGCCUCCGCU